rnacentral:rRNA from 1 species
ACGGGUGAGUAAUGCCUAGGAAUCUGCCUGGUAGUGGGGGACAACGUUUCGAAACGAACGCUAAUACCGCAUACGUCCUACGGGAGAAAGCAGGGGACCUUCGGGCCUUGCGCUAUCAGAUGAGCCUAGGUCGGAUUAGCUAGUUGGUGAGGUAAUGGCUCACCAAGGCGACGAUCCGUAACUGGUCUGAGAGGAUGAUCAGUCACACUGGAACUGAGACACGGUCCAGACUCCUACGGGAGGCAGCAGUGGGGAAUAUUGGACAAUGGGCGAAAGCCUGAUCCAGCCAUGCCGCGUGUGUGAAGAAGGUCUUCGGAUUGUAAAGCACUUUAAGUUGGGAGGAAGGGCGUGCACCUAAUACGUGUGUGUCUUGACGUUACCGACAGAAUAAGCACCGGCUAACUCUGUGCCAGCAGCCGCGGUAAUACAGAGGGUGCAAGCGUUAAUCGGAAUUACUGGGCGUAAAGCGCGCGUAGGUGGUUCGUUAAGUUGAAUGUGAAAUCCCCGGGCUCAACCUGGGAACUGCAUCCAAAACUGGCGAGCUAGAGUAUGGUAGAGGGUGGUGGAAUUUCCUGU